rnacentral:rRNA from 1 species
AGAGUUUGAUCCUGGCUCAGAUUGAACGCUGGCGGUAUGCUUAACACAUGCAAGUCGAACGGUAGCAGCAGAGCUUGCUCUGGCUGACGAGUGGCGGACGGGUGCGUAACGCGUGGGAAUCUACCUUGUAGUGGGGGAUAGCCCGGAGAAAUCCGGAUUAAUACCGCAUAAUCUCUACGGAGCAAAGUGGGGGAUCUUCGGACCUCACGCUAUUAGAUGAGCCCGCGUUAGAUUAGCUUGUUGGUGGGGUAAUGGCUCACCAAGGCAACGAUCUAUAGCUGGUUUGAGAGGAUGAUCAGCCACACUGGGACUGAGACACGGCCCAGACUCCUACGGGAGGCAGCAGUGGGGAAUAUUGGACAAUGGGCGCAAGCCUGAUCCAGCAAUACCGCGUGUGUGAAGAAGGCCUGAGGGUUGUAAAGCACUUUCAAUAGAGACGAAAAGCUCAGGCUUAAUACACCUGGGUCUUGACUUAACCUAUAGAAGAAGCACCGCUAACU